rnacentral:lncRNA from 1 species
CGCUGCCUCCUGAGGUGAGCCUCGCCGUCACUUUCUCUUGGUGCGAUUCAGGGUGGACACGGUCCAGGCCGGUCCGGUCCCGGUCCGAGCCGCCGUUUGGACCGGACGCCGGCGGUCCGGGCCGGACCGGACCGAGCUGUGCAGCGGUCCUGAUUACAGGGACCGGACCGGCUGGCAUGAAGCUCGGUGCGGACCGGCGGUCCUGGCGGUCCUGGCGCCGUCCAGUCACUGCCAUGUGGGCCCAGGACAUCGGAGUGGUGGUCGGAGUAGCAACACGGUGGCCGGAGCCGGAGAAGAAGCACCUGAUGCACGGUGGCGCGAGAGAAAGGCACGGGAGAGAGAGGGAGCAGCAUGGCGCGAGGCAGAGGCGUGGUGGCGCGAGGGGACGACGGCGAGAGGUAGAGGCGCGGCGGCGCGAGGUUGUGCCGGGAGAGGAAGUCGAGGAAGACGGCGGCGCAGGGGAGGAAGAGGGGCUGCGCAGGGGAGGAAGAGGGACGGCGCGUGCGAGGAAGAGGAGGCAGUGGCAGUUCGCUAGGUCACGCACGCCCCUCUUAUUAGCUUUAUUGGGCUGGGCUCUUCUGAUUAGCUUUAUUGGGCUGGGCCUUCGGUCCUCCGAGCCGUACCGAGCUUUAACCGGACCGGACCGACCGAAUUUCGGUCUCGUUUUCACGGACCGGACCGGCCAUAUUAUCUAGCGAGCCAGGCCCGUACGGUCCGGUCCAUAACGGGCCGCGGUCCAGGCCAGAAGCCCGCUCGUCCCGUCCACCCUGAGGUGCGAUGCUGCGUGUACAAUAGCCGGCGAGGUCUGUAUCUUGCGUCAAGAGUAGCGGCGUGGGGAUCUUCAGGAGGUCCAUCGACAGCAAUACACAGCUGCAGGAAUGACAACAGGUGGACUAGCUCAACGUGAGGGUGACCAUGGGCAAGGCCGCAAGGGGUGCUGUGGCUGCUCGAGGUCUGGUGGUCAUGACAGGGGGCGAUGUGGCUGUCAAGGUCUGGUUCGUUUUUGACGCCGCAGAAGUCGUCCAUGUCACUCCGAUCGGCUAACCGGCUGAUCCCACGGCCACGGGUGAGGCGAAAUCUCCCUAUUAUACCUGCAAAUCUUUUGCGUCCUCUAUUCACUGAUUAGUAUGGGCGAGCUGAUUGUGAUGGUCAUACUUGGGUGCAGAGUGCAGGCUCCUACUCCAGGCUUCGAUCUAGAAACAAUUUCCCUGGGUGAAUGUAGGGAUGUACUAUGUAGUGUGAUUAAUUCGUUCAAGCUUUGUGUUCUUGAUUUUUCAUAAAAUUACGAAGUCUGCCUGUGUGAUUUGAGUGAAAUUUGUUGGUUGGGACAGGUUUACUUAGUCCUGCAACUUAGUUCUGCAUUAUGGAAGGUUUACUUAGUCCUGCAAAUUCGUCAAGUCUGAAUAUACAAGGUGGCUUACAUGUGAGUUCUUGCCCUGUUCAUGAUGGAACUAUGUAUCUCCAUUAACUGCGUGGGCUGCACUUAUCUGAAGUUUGUAUCUACCUCUUUGCUCACGAUUUGUUCGAUCAAAUUUUGUAUAAAUACCUAGAUUGUAUGAAUGAAUUUAUGUGAUUUUCCCUGGAAUUUAUGAAUACAUUUUUUGCAGAAUUGGACUGAUAUAAAUUAUUUGAAUUUGGAUUACUGAUUCUUUCUCAAAUAUUUCAGUCCCUGCAGCAACAUCAGUGUUAUUUGACAGAAUUGCAUCAGCCCUGAAGGGUUUGGAAACAUCGAUCCCUGCCAUUAUAAACAGAACAUGUUGCGUUCUCGCUGCAUAGUAUUAGAAGGACUCAUGUAUGAAGUAUCUAUUUUAAAGAAAUUAAACCUAUCUUUGGAAUUUUGAUUCCCAGGUCUGAAUUCAGAUCUAUAUAUUUUUAUCUUCUUGUAAUGGUUUGCCUCCUGCAAUCAUUUGUUUGCCUUUAUCUGCAUCCGCAUGAAGAUUAAAAAUGGAAGAGAAAUCAAUGAACUAUAUUGUUCCGCCGUACAUAGGCCGGAAAGAUUUGAUGUAUGUAUAGCGUAUUUUUAAGGCAUGGCCAUCUCAGCAAUAAUCAGUACAUUAUAGGAUUGUCACCAAAGAUGUGAAAUCAAGGUCAUGUAGAUAGUCAUGCUUAGCAGAUUGUUUAUAUUCGGAAGGAAAGAAGACAGAAACAGUAACAGACCAUGUAUUUUUAUCAGCGAAUUCAGCUUAGUUAGCUUUGCUUGAUAUUGGUUUGCAAAAUCUAACUCUCUUAACUCCUCUUUUAAGUGAGGGUUUGCUCUGCUCUAUAAUUUUCUUCCAUUUUCCAAUACAAAUUGUGUUUAAAUGAUACGUGGCAUUGCGAAUUAUGACCAACUAGCUACGGUUUAGUAUGGUAUGGUUUUGUUCUGGCUCAUUUCAUUGACUGUGGUUGGUUGUUAUCAUUUUAUACCCACAUUUUCAAACCUUAGAGAAAGGGAUGGCAACAAAGCUUCAUAUUUCAGCUACUGAUAUCAUAGUGUGCAUGUUAUGGGCACAACUAAGUCUUCUUGCAUGUUGCAGUAAUGUACAGUUGGACGUUAAGCUAAUUUUCUUUUUUGCAGGUUAAGCUAAUAGCUUCAUAGAUGAAAUUUUGUCUAUCUUGUUGUAUAAAUUAUAGCAUCGUGUAGGCCGAUAGCUGAAAUUUAGUCUACCUUGCACUAUAAUUUUUGGCAUAGUGCAAUUCAUCUUGCUGCAUAAAUUAUCUUCACUAUAAAUUCUGGCAUAGUACAGUCCAUCUUGCUGUAUAAAUUUUGGUACAGUGCAGACAAGGCAUGAGAAAAUGGCUUGCCGAGCCAACACCGGCAACACUGCACCAUGAGGAUGGUCGGUGGGCACCAUCAAACAAAUCUCAAUAGUGUUAUCUUGCAUUCGUACGAGCAUCGGUCCGGCCUUUUUAAAUACGAACAACAAAUCGCUGCAUUUUACGAGCCUUUUUCUGGUUUAUUCUUAUUGCUUGAGAAUUUUAAGGAGCAUUGUGGGUUUCUCUGCCCAUAAGGAGGAAACUACAUUUUGUAUGUGAUGCAUGUUUGGCUGAAAUCCCCCCUUCUACCUUUUGCAGAGCUCUCACAAAUCAAGUAAGUUACGAAGUGGCCUGAAUGUCUAGAUUCUAGCUUGCUUUGAAUUUAUGAAUUAUCGCUGCUAUAUUGUUAUCUCGGGAUAGUGAAACAGUCGAGUUGUACUACUUGCAGGGGAUUUCUGCAUACAGUUCAUCCAUUCAGUAAAGGCAUAUGCAGAAAUAUCUAUCACUUUGACUUCACCACGAAAUUAAUUUGUUCUGGAAGCCGUAGGUACCCUUACUCGAGGAGCUGGAAGCCAGAGAAGCUCUGUACCAAUUUUAGUGCUGGUGUUAUUGAUCUGUGUGUUGCUGUGCCAUUCUUCAGCCCUAGCAUGUGUUGUCAUCCAUUGUUCAAACUUUUUCUUCCACUGGAAGCAUGUCUUUCAUGAACUGCACCAAUAAAUGUACAUUGAAUUUAUCAAUGUCUAUAUGUAGUUUAUCCUUUCUCCUUGACGCGCUUAGAAUUUACGUAAAUAUUUACGCGCUCAGAAUUUUUAAAACUGAAACACCGAUUAUGCGGGGGGAGGGGGACAAUGGCCCCCUUAGCCCUUGCCUUAGUCAACUUCCCCAUGCUCCAUUGUUUUGCCAACAAUGAUACUAUCUCUAAUGUUUGCUUUAUUGCAGGCUAAACGUCCUUCUGCUAUCGAUUCCUUUCACAAAAUCACAACCAACUGGCAGGGCAAGACGAUAGCUUCUUGGACUACGACGGAACACUGUCGCCAAUAGUAGAUAAUCCUGACGAGGCAUACAUGUCCAACGAGGUAAGUAUAACGAAAAGAAAAAUUCUUGCAUGUUCCUUGAUAUUUGUAGAUCUUUCUUAUCCCUGGAACAUAUAAUCAGAUGCAUGAACUUGUUCAAGAAAUUGCCUCCUUGUGCCCCACUUCAGUCGUCAGUGGAAGGGCCUGCGAUAAGGUAUUACGUAUCUAGUAGCCUUUUAAUUUGGAUGUUCUAUACAUUUGUAAUUAGUGACUCACUUGUUUUGCUAUUCAUCUGUUGACAGAAAAUUUCAAAAUGAUCGAAAACCUGCACUAUGCAGGGAGCCACGGAGCAGAAAUCAAACUCCUAAGCCAUUAUUAAAUUUAGAAAUGUCUAUAUGUAGUUUAUCCUUUCUCUUUGACAUGCUCAGAAUUUAUGUGAAUAUUUAACCUGCAGAGUGAUGAAACAGAAACCCACGAGCCUACCAACGAGUACGUACCUGUUAUAAAUCAGAUAUAGAAUAUAACGAAUUAUAAUAAUCCACAUAUCUAUCUUUUUAACAACUAUUUUGCUGCUUCCUACUAUUCUGUCCAUAAGUAAAACUCAGUUCUGCCUAGCCCUUGCCUUAGUCAAUUCUUCCCCAUGCUCAAUUCUUUUGCAAAAAAACUACCUGCAAACCACAUGUUGCGGUUUGCAAAGAAGCCCUUCUUAAUUGUCUAUCCUCAAAUAAUUAAAAAAAUUAGGCGAGGUUUUGUGCGGUUUGCAAAGAAGCCCUUAAGGUGAGAUGAACUUAUGUUUCAAAUAAUUACAAAAAAAUGUAGUUACACAGGUUCUCGAAGACAUAUGCUGGAAGGAAAUGUUGUGUGAGAAGCGACGUAUUCCAAGAGCCAUCGACAUUCAGGAGAUCUGCCAUCCAUUUUAGUCUGCAUCGACGUUUUUGUGUGAUCGGCCUAAAGGAGGGUUCCCUUGGGAUCCAAGGAUCAUUGCCAUAUGUGUAUGUUUUCUUCAGUGCCAACAUGCCAGACGCACCCCUGCUUAGCUAGCUCUAACCCAUAUUCAAUGGUUGCACAUGUCGACGAACCAUUCCCUGUGAAGAUUGUGUCAAUAAUGGAUCCAGACAGAUAGUACUUGGCUCAUAGGACCCGUGGACAUAGGCUCUCCAAAACUAUGUGCAAGCAAGGCCUUGAUUGAACAACCUCAAAUUUUUGCACAAGCUCCUACAAAUUUUGCAUCCAGCUCAUGUAUGUACUCGCUCAAGUCCUUUUUACUCAACGUAUAAGAUUUGUCUUAAGUUAAACUCCGUAAAGUUUGACCAUGUUUGUGUAAAAAAAUACCAACAUCUAUAAUACUAAAAUUCUAAAGUUAUACAUUAUGAAAAUUAAAUUCAUGGCGCAUCUAACUAUAUUGGUUUCAUAUUAGAAUGUUGUUAUCUUUUCAAUAAAGUUGGUCAAACUUUACUAAAUUUGAUUUUAGAUGAAACUUAUAUGCGGAGUAAAAUGGACCGGAGGGAGUAUAUAUACUCCAAUAAAUUUCCAUCGGCUCAUAAUAUUUGAAACUAUCAGCUGAGCAUGACGGGAGCAUGUAUCACAUAUAUUUGAGACCAAUGAUGCUGUGAUUACCUCAUGCCCAAAUAUUUUUUGCCUAGAAUUCAUGUACUUUUAACAGGAAAAGUUCGCCGAAGUUGGUCAAUCUCUCUUAAUCAAUCCUUUAAAAAAUUGGUAUAUAACCCUGCACUUCGAUCAUAACAACCUCUUGCAUCCGUACUUCGCAUAGCAUGAUCCACUUGAAGCAAGAAGAAAAAUCCUAAACGCAUAUAAAAAAAAGAAAAAAACCUACUCCUUCCGUCUCAUAAUGUAAGACGUUUUUUGACACUAGUGUAGUGUCAAAAUAUAUCUUACAUUAUAGGACACAGGGAGUAAUUCUAAAUAUACUACACCUAGCUAGGUUUGAUUUAUCUGGAUUUGACUUUUUUCUAUCAGUGGAAAACAGACCAAUGGGAAGGCGACACGUUAUUUACUGGGGAUCUGUUGGGAUAUGUUUUGGAGUGCCUUUAGCGAUUUGGUAGAGCUGCAGUUGCUGGAUUGGUUUCGCCCAUCUCUCUUAAUCCUUUACACGUGCGGACGAUGCGUCUUCAUCUUUGGAAGACUUUCGUGAAAUCCCGUUGGUUCCUAUUUCAUACCUCUCAAUUCUUGCCGCGUGUCCAUCCCGAAGACUCUCGUGGGAUCAUGACCACCACCGCUUGCCGUUGUUCCACCGCCGUAUGGGCUAAUAAAAAGGCUACCCUCCCUCGCCAUCCGCCUCGCCCACUCUCGAGCUGUGGUCUUCCAAAGUCGGGCGGCGCACCAGCCGCUCUCCUUGAUCUCGCCGGUUGCGGUGCCUCGCCGAUGUGCAGGGCCAAGGACGUGCCGAUGCAUCGAGAUGCCCCUCGCCCAGCCUACUGGCGCUCCGUCGACGCACCUGGCUCCUCCUCGACGCCUCAAGCCGUCCCGCGCCGCAUGUGUCUAGGUCUCGUGCCCGUCCAGGCCACCAGCAUGCUGCCGUCCCACGCUCUACCGGAGCCCUCUGCCCGUCGUCAUCGUGGCAAGCUGCCGCCUCUACUAGGAUAGCGCAGAAGCCGACGCGAGGAGGCGCCCCAUCUCCCCGUUGCUCUGCCUUCGUGUCAAGGCGAUGGAGAUGUGCGAGAGCUGAGAGGGAUGGGAGGAGGAGCGGCCACGGUGAAGUGGCCGAAGGAGGUGCUGGCAUGGCGGCGGCGUGGGGAGCGAUUGGAGGCGCGCGGGCCUCACCGCUGCCUCCUGAGGUGAGCCUCGCCGUCACUUUCUCUUGGUGCGAUGCUGCAUGUACAAUAGCCGGCGAGGUCUGUAUCUUGCGUCAAGAGUAGCGCUUGGGGAUCUUCAGGAGGUCCAUCGACAGCAAUACACAGCUGCAGGAAUGACAACAGGUGGACUAGCUCAACGUGAGGGUGACCAUGGGCAAGGGGUGCUGUGGCUGCUCGAGGUCUGGUGGUCAUGACAGGGGGCGAUGUGACUGUCAAGGUCUGGUUCGUUUUUGACGCCGCAGAGGUCGUCCGUGUCACUCCGAUCGGCUAACCGGCUGAUCCCACGGCCACGGGUGAGGCGAAAUCUCCCUAUUAUACCUGCAAAUCUUUUGCGUCCUCUAUUCACUGAUUAGUAUGCGGCGAGCUGAUUGUGAUGGUCAUACUUGGGUGCAGAGUGCAGGCUCCUACUUCAGGCUUCGAUCUAGAAACAAUUUCCCUGGGUGAAUGUAGGGAUGUACUAUGUAGUGUGAUUAAUUCGUUCAAGCUUUGUGUUCUUGAUUUUUCAUAAAAUUACGAAGUCUGCCUGUGUGAUUUGAGUGAAAUUUGUUGGUUGGGACAGGUUUACUUAGGCCUGCAACUUAGUUCUGCAUUAUGGAAGGUUUACUUAGUCCUGCAAAUUCGUCAAGUCUGAAUAUACAAGGUGGCUUACAUGUGAGUUCUUGCCCUGUUCAUGAUGGAACUAUGUAUCUCCAUUAACUGCGUGGGCUGCACUUAUUUGAAGUUUGUAUCUACCUCUUUGCUCACGAUUUGUUCGAUCAAAUUUUGUAUAAAUACCUAGAUUGUAUGAAUGAAUUUAUGUGAUUCUCCCUGGAAUUUAUGAAUACAUUUUUUGCAGAAUUGGACUGAUAUAAAUUAUUUGAAUUUGGAUUACUGAUUCUUUCUCAAAUAUUUCAGUCCCUGCAGCAACAGCAGUGUUAUUUGACAGAAUUGCAUCAGCCCUGAAGGGUUUGGAAACAUCGAUUCCUGCCAUUAUAAACAAAACAAUGUUGCGUUCUCGCUGCAUAGUAUUAGAAGGACUCAUGUAUGAAGUAUCUAUUUUAAAGAAAUUAAACCUAUCUUUGGAAUUUUGAUUCCCGGGUCUGAAUUCAGAUCUAUAUAUUUUUAUCUUUUUGUAAUGGUUUGCCUCCUGCAAUCAUUUGUUUGCCUUCAUCUGCAUCCGCAUGAAGAUUAAAAAUGGAAGAGAAAUCAAUGAACUAUAUUGUUCCGCCGUACAUAGACCGGAAAGAUUUGAUGUAUGUAUAGCGUAUUUUUAAGGCAUGGCCAUCUCAGCAAUAAUCAGUACAUUACAGGAUUGUCACCAAAGAUGUGAAAUCAAGGUCAUAUAGAUAGUCAUGCAUAGCAGAUUGUUUAUAUUCAGAAGGAAAGAAGACAGAAACAGUAACAGACCAUGUAUUUUUAUCAGCGAAUUCAGCUUAGUUAGCUUUGCUUGAUAUUGGUUUGCAAAAUCUAACUCUCUUAACUCCUCUUUUAAGUGAGGGUUUGCUCUGCUCUAUAAUUUUCUUCCAUUUUCCAAUACAAAUUGUGUUUAAAUGAUACGUGGCAUUGCGAAUUAUGACCAACUAGCUACGGUUUAGUAUGGUAUGGUUUUGUUCUGGCUCAUUUCAUUGACUGUGGUUGGUUGUUAUCAUUUUAUACCCACAUUUUCGAACCUUAGAGAAAGGGACGGCAACAAAGCUUCAUAUUUCAGCUACUGACAUCAUAGUGUGCAUGUUAUGGGCACAACUAAGUCUUCUUGCAUGUUGCAGUAAUGUACAGUUGGACGUUAAGCUAAUUUUUCUUUUUGCAGGUUAAGCUAAUAGCUUCAUAGAUGAAGUUUUGUCUAUCUUGCUGUAUAAAUUAUAGCAUCGUGUAGACCGAUAGCUGAAAUUUAGUCUACCUUGCACUAUAAUUUUUGGCAUAGUGCAAUUCAUCUUGCGGCCUAAAUUAUCUUCACUAUAAAUUCUGGCAUAGUACAGUCCAUCUUGCUGUAUAAAUAUUGGCACAGUGCAGACAAGGCAUGAGAAAAUGGCUUGCCGAGCCAACACCGGCAACACUGCACCAUGAGGAUGGUCGGUGGGCACCAUCAAACAAAUCUCAAUAGUGGUAUCUUGCAUUCGUACGAGCAUCGGUCCGGCCUUUUUAAAUACGAACAACAAAUCGCUGCAUUUUACGAGCCUUUUUCUGAUCUAUUCUUAUUGCUUGAGAAUUUUAAGGAGCAUUGUGGGUUUCUCUGCCCAUGAGGAAACUACAUUUUGUAUGUGAUGCAUGUUUGGCUGAAAUCCCCCCUUCUACCUUUUGCAGAGCUCUCACAAAUCAAGUAAAUUACGAAGUGGCCUGAAUGUCUAGGUUCUAGCUUGCUUUGAAUUUAUGAAUUAUCGCUGCUAUAUUGUUAUCUCGGGAUAGUGAAAUAGUCGAGUUGUACUAUCUCCAUCCGUAUAUAGACAAAUCUAAGACAAGUAAUUUGCGACCGAGGGAGUAGUUGACUGUCCCUAUGAUAGGAGCGUAUUCGUUGACCGCUCACGCUUCUGUAUAUAAAUGUGCAUUCGAGUUGUGGCUGUUUAUCUCAGCAUACAGUUUGCUCUUUUUUUCUGACAAAGUACAGUUCGCCCUUUUGAGCCAUUUGUGUUUGCGAUUGUUGGGUUUGAUAGGAAUUCUUAUCAUGCUAGGAUCAUUACCCCAUCGGCAAUGUUCAAGUGUGGAUCAAGAUGGACGUCCCAUGAGUAUAAGGGGAGGCGUAAAUGCAUACAUACAUCUUCCGAGGCAACCCGGCUCCGAUGCAAGUGUCAGCCGAAGAGAAUGCCGGGCAAGCUGCACUUCAACACCACUGCACGACGUGAGCAUCAACGGCUACAACCCUGAUGCGCUCGGCACAAUUCUUAUAAUUGUUUCACAGACAGGAUCAGGCAAGAAACAAGGAAUGGCAAGCGGAUGGCAUGCAAAUAAGCCCUCACCCUCCACAAAGAGAGGAGACCGGACGUAAAAGGGUUCUGAAGAUCUGCCUUCGGUUUAUUCAGUUUUUAGACCGUCUUCACACUCCCACUCUGUCCUCGAAUAGGAAGCACACCAAUCCCACAGGGGGCUGCACUAGAAUGAUACAAGUAAAACAUUUGAUCUUAGUACAAGAAUAGCACUGUUUACUACUUUGUAAAAUAUAUCGAUCAUGUGAUGAUUAAAACCUAUGCUUUCCAAUUCUCACCUUUAUACAUAGCUUGCCUUAUUGUAACCCCCAAA